AUUGAACGCUGGCGGCAGGCCUAACACAUGCAAGUCGAACGGUAACAGGAAACAGCUUGCUGUUUCGCUGACGAGUGGCGGACGGGUGAGUAAUGUCUGGGAAACUGCCUGAUGGAGGGGGAUAACUACUGGAAACGGUAGCUAAUACCGCAUAACGUCGCAAGACCAAAGAGGGGGACCUUCGGGCCUCUUGCCAUCGGAUGUGCCCGGAUGGGAUUAGCUUGUGGGUGGGGUAACGGCUCACCAAGGCGACGAUCCCUAGCUGGUCUGAGAGGAUGACCAGCCACACUGGAACUGAGACACGGUCCAGACUCGUACGGGAGGCAGCAGUGGGGAAUAUUGCACAAUGGGCGCAAGCCUGAUGCAGCCAUGCCGCGUGUAUGAAGAAGGCCUUCGGGUUGUAAAGUACUUUCAGCGGGGAGGAAGGGAGUAAAGUUAAUACCUUUACUCAUUGACGUUACCCGCAGAAGAAGCACCGGCUAACUCCGUGCCAGCCGCCGCGGUAA
rnacentral:rRNA from 1 species